rnacentral:lncRNA from 1 species
GUCUGCGGGUGGGUGUUUAGAUAGCGCCAUCCGUUGCGGCGUUUAGAGUCCACCAACAGGUGAUGUCCUAGGGCACUUGUCUUUGCCUUUCUGGCUUCCUUCGCUUAGUAUGAGGGUCUCUCGUUCCAGCCCCGCGGCGGCAGAUGGCACUCGUUCUGCCGCUUUUUCCUGGCUGUGUGCGAUGCCAUCGCAUGGAUGUCCCCGGGCCUUCGAAGUGCACUCACCUGUCAGUGGACCUUUAGGUGGCUUCCAGAUCUUGGCUCUGCCCCGCGGCGGCAGAUGGCACUCGUUCUGCCGCUUUUUCCUGGCUGUGUGCGAUGCCAUCGCAUGGAUGUCCCCGGGCCUUCGAAGUGCACUCACCUGUCAGUGGACCUUUAGGUGGCUUCCAUAUAUUGGCUCUGGUGAGUAGUGCGGCGACAGACAGAGGGUGCCCGGGUCUGCUUCCGGGAAAGAUUGGUCCCGGUGAAAUGGCGCUGUUUGGAGGCCGGCUUCGGUCUUUGUGUGGGCCGGCCCGUGUAGGGCUGCUUGGCUGAGACUCUGUCGAGGAGGGAGGCCUUCAGCCACCGGGGCCUCACGGGGCCUACCCGUGCGGCACCAUCACAGAGCUCUCUGUCACUGCCCCUUGUGGGGUGAGGGAAGGGGCGUGUUGGGGGGGGGCGUGUGUGUGGGGGGGAUGGUGGGCAAGGAGCACACUUGGGCUUGGCGGGUGGGGGGGGUGGGGGUGGGGGAAAGGGGCUGCCCUGGGAUGGAUGGGGAUGGGCCUCUGGGCUGCUCUGUGGAUGCCACCUGCGCUGUGUGGAAUGGAUGGGCCAGGGGAGCCGCCGGUACAGCGCGGGGAAAUGUCUGCGAGUGGGUCCCUUGACUCUGUCGAGGAGGGAGGCCUUCAGCCACCGGGGCCUCACGGGGCCU